rnacentral:lncRNA from 1 species
AGUGUCUUCAAGGCAGAUGGCAAAGCAUCCAAGAAUCUAUAGCGAGACGGGCAGCUCAAAGCCACCCCUCAUCCACGUGGCGAGCAAGAGACGCGGCGUGCAGUGCUGCCCCUCUUAUGGACCCGGCAGUGGGGUCCUCGGUCAAGGGCAGACUUUCUCUAAGGCUCUCCUUUUGCCAAUAGCACUGCCAGCAUUACCUGGCAUUGAGUUGCGUCUUAUUUCUAAAACGGAGGCGCAGACUCGUGUGCUCUCAUGGCUCCGCCCCCAAAUCCCUCAUCCACUAUUAGAGGGCUUCAGUUUCCAUGACCUUCCUUCAUGCGGCCCUGGAUCGUGGCUAAAGGAAAUCUCAAGAGAGGAAUGGCUAAUUGCCCCAAAUCCCCAGGUGUCCAAGUUCGCAGUGAAGGCCAGUUCUUCCCAAUGUAUAGCCGGAAUGUAGAGGACUCAGGUCGUGACCGUUCAUACACGGAUAUCAGAUGUUAUCUGUAAAGAACUGGGGUGGGAGGGACUCAUAGUUGAACCAAGAGUAGUGCAGGAAGGCGUGACUGUUGUCAGGGCUGGAAUUCAUCACUGCUGCUAAAGUCCAGGGUUCUUGACUCUUCCUUAGCUGUUAGGUCUCUCCCCUCUUUCCCUUAGGGCGUUAUAUUCAUUUACGUAUUUAUUGAUUUAGCAACUUACGUUCUGUUCAUCACAAACGCAAAGC